UGCAGGUCACAGUACUCGGUAUUUCUCAGUAGACUACGUGGUAAGGACGUGAGUAAUAGCAAGGUUGGUUUGUUCUCAUUUUCCAACGUGUGACGUUGACCAACAAAACUGUUGGUCUACCUGUCUCGGUUUUUAUUUAGUUUUUCUUAUACGCAUAAGAGAGAUAGCCCACAAGGAUUGUGUAGGCAGUGUGCGCGGGCGUUCACGUCAUCGGUGCUACGCAAUUAAGAAAGAAGUUUGUCUCAGUCUGUAAUAUAGUUUCUAGUGUAACUUUAUCUCGGCGUACGUUACAACUGUGGGUAAUCAGUAAUUAUACUUACACUGGUUAGUCUGAGGCGAAGCGCUCGUAAGCGUUGUGAACAUCAGGCCAGUUUUCCUCGCCGGCGCGCAGUUAGUAAUAAUGCUUCAACACUGGAACUAACACGGAUUUAUUAUUUUCCAACUAAACUACUUGAAACGUGAAGGUGAAACUUAUUGACUUGAAAAGUAUGGGCUGUAACAUUUCGUGUCGGCCUUGCUGCUGCUGCUGCAUCCCGUGCCUGUGCUGCGAUUGCUGCGCGGACCCACCCCCUCCCACUACCGUCAACGUGGUGCACCACCACGUGCCCGCGCCCGUCACCGUCGUGCACCAGCCACCGCCACCCUACGCCAGAUAGAA